rnacentral:snoRNA from 1 species
GGCAGGAUGUUCUAAGCUUUGGUUAGCCGACUGCCUGACGUGAUUUGGUGUGCUGAUUU